UUGGGGUUUCUCAAACAAUAAAGAAUUUUUUUUGAUGUAUCCAAUGAUGGCCUAAUUAAUAUAGGUGAAGGAGUCUUCACUCUUCAAACGGAAAACUAUUUUUAUCUGUUUAUUUUGACACUUUUACUUGUCUUUUUCAUUUGGUUUUGUAAAAUGAAUAUGAAAUAUGAGAAUUGUUAUACUUUCAUUGACUAUUUCUGUAGUAACACUUUUCAAAAUUUUAGAUAGUUUGAUUAAAACUUGUAAUCAAGUUGGGUUAUUACAUUGGUAGUUAAGAGAGUGAAAUUGGAGACAGAAGAAUGAGAUUAAAUGCUAAGACUAAACCCUCAAAACAGAUAGGUUCCGGCAAUGAAGUGGACUAGCUAAAUCUCAUAAAGACAAGGAAAGUUCAACUGCACCUUUGGCACAGCAUUGGUUAAAUUCUAUGUAGGUUAAAGACAGUACUUACAUUCUUGGGACAAACAAAUAAUUACAUUCAUGGAUUAAGAAAUGAGGCAUUGAGUACCACUAAAUAAUUAGAGUGGACAUAUUGUAAUAUGGCUUAUGCAGGAUCUAAUUUGGAAAUGCUUGAAUGAUACAUAAUAAAAAUAUGAACAAACCAUGUCGAGGUAAAAAGGUUAGUAUAGGUAGUAAGUUACAGUCCAUUUCAUUUCUUAAUAUUCUUACUGUGGAUUUCCUGUUUUCCCAGCAAGAAUGUGAAAAACUACAAGCAAGAAUAGAGGUGCUGAAAGCGGAUAGCCUCUGCACUUCCCUGAGGAACUCGACAAUCUUUCAUAGGAAUGUGAGAGACUUGAUGACAAAAACAAAUUAAUUAAGGAAGAGCUAGUCCAGAUGUGCGGACCAGGAAUAAUUUAUGACCUUACAGCUUCAUGGCCUGAACUUCAUGAUCAUGAGAAUGAAGUAAUGCAGAAAUGACUCCAACCAAAAGAAACUCAAACUUAUAACUGGCUUACAUACAGAUGCUUCAAGUGCAAUCUUCAUUUGAAGCAAGAAGGCAAUCUGUUCUAGACUAUCCAGGGGGAAAGGAACAAGAACUGCUGGAGUGGAGAUUCGUAUGCAUUGGAGAACUGAACCUCCUGGGCUGUUGCUGCUGGCUUUUUGGAUCUUGAGCAGAUCUUUGAGAGGGAAUUUUUCAUUUUUUUUUCUUUUUGUUGUAACUUGUUUGUCAAUGAUUCUAAUCUUGGGUGGGCUAGCAAAAUCUAUCAGCUUUUACACAUUAAAGAGAAUAAUUUGUGUAUACAUAUCCAGUUUCUUGUACACGAAUGACAUAUUGCUUCAUCAUUUCGCUCAAGCUUGAAGAAUUGACAUAAAGUGGCCCAAAACCUACCACUUUCAAUGGAGGUGCGAGAGCUGUUGUUUACCAUUUAUUUGGUACUUCCACAAGCAAAGAAUUCACAUUUCAGGUCUAGGUAAGA